AGGCCUCCUUUUCCGCCCCUUUGGCAAAAAUUGAUGAUGUUCAUGGCGAGGCAGCUGCUGUGGGGGCAGCUCUGUCUGGUGAUUGGCAGUGGCUGGCCUCUGGACUUCUGUUGGAAUUGACGGUAGUGCUUCUGAUGAGGUCUCCAAAUUUCGCCCAUUAUGCCUCAAGAGAGUUGCAGGAGUGGCGAGGCAGCUGCUGGAGGGGCAGCUCUGUCAGUUUAAUAGCAGGUUUUAUUGCCAUUAAACUUCUGCUAUUUGGCGCAAUCAGUAGACGCCGUAUAAUCCGUCGCUUUCAAAGUCGCCACUGGAUUGUCCAUUUAGGAACCUACGUAGGUCAUCGUAAGGCUCUUCGUCGGUCCAUUGGCUGUCGUCGUCCAUGUCCAUAUCCGGCUCACUGUCCGAUAUGGCUACUGCUGCUGCUGUAUUGGCGGCUGGUUGUGGUGGCGG